UUAGAUUAGUAUAAAUAGGGAUAGAUAGUUUCAUUUGUAAUCAAUUCCAUUGUACAAAAUUCUCAGUUUAUAUAUUCAAGUUAUUCGAUUGUCUAGAGAUCAAAGAUCCAUUAGGGCCAACACUAAUCUCAUCUCAUGAAUGCGAAUUUUAAUAUCUGAGUCAAUGUUGCAGUUCAAGCGUCAUGCGUUUAUGUUGGUUCUUCAACUCAUAUUCGUGUAAUCAAUCUGCUUUCAUUCAGAUUCAAUGUAACAAUCAAGUCUAGAAAGGUUUUUAGUUUAAUGUUAUAUGUUAUAUAUUGAAUUAGGGUUUCAUUAGCAUUUCAGAAGCAGUACAGAGGAGACGAGAUGAAGCCGAACAAAUAUACAUCUUCCGCCAUCACCACCGAUCCACCGCCUCCAUCGUCUUCUACAAUCGUUUCAUCCGUUAUAUUGAUAGUGUUGGAGUUGGUGGAGAAAUUCCUUCUACAUAUGCUAAUACAACAAAUUUGGUCUGUGUAAGAACAUUUAUUUUGAUGAUGUUUCAAAGUAAUUAAGCUUGUGGUUAAUAUGCCUAGGUUGAAUUGGUGAGUGGGAUUUUCAUUUAGCGGCUAAUUGAAAUGAAAUCAAGGAAACUAUAUAAGUCUUUAAUUCAUGUUGACUAAAAAUUUGUUUUCUUUCUUAUUUGCUCUCAACUUGGUCUGACUUGUUCAUCUUGAACUUGACUCGGUGCGAGUCAAUUCAUGUGACUCACAAGGUCCCGGUUGGGGAUUCUUCCUUAAACUUGUUCAGUUGGUUGAGAAGGAUGCGGAAAGGGUGAUGCUGUUGUUUUGGGCAACCAUUAAUGCUGGAGGUCGAGUUGAUAGCGCGCUGAAGGAUCUGGCGAUUGUUAUGAAACAACAUAAUGGGGCCGAAGAAGCAAUUGAAGCGAUUAAUUCUUUGCUUAAAGAAAAAAAACAUGUUUUUUCCGGUAAAACCCAAGACCCUAAACCCUAUAUCAUUAUGAGAUUAAGGUGUGGAAGAUUGGAUAAUCAGAUUCGACUAUUGUGGCAUAAACUGUUCAUGAUACAACAAGGGACGGCUUUCAAUGGGAAGCGAACUAAAACCGCAAGAUCUUAAGGGAAGAAGCUUCAAGUUUCGGCUGAGCAGGAGGUGACUUGGCUGAUGGUAAGAACUAACAACAACCAUGGUGGAUUUUGUAAUAGAUAUGGGAUUUUGAUUUUAAAAUUUGUUUUAAGAUAUAUUUUCUUCAGACAUGAGGUCUGAAGUGGCUACCCAAGUUUAUUGCACUUUUCAAGGCAUUAAAAUGGAAAUAGUUCUUUCAAUGGUACGACUGGUCUAAAUUUGCUCCUGGAAAACACAAUCAUUGUUGGUUUACUGAUCUAACAUAACAUUGACUUUCUGGCCUUUUAUGUUAAUGUUAAAGGACUGGGUCAAACCUGUUCUCAAUUAUACAAGUUCUGUGUGGGCCUUGGCUGUGAGUUCUACAAGCAUUGCUGUGCUUGUAUGGGUUGGGGAGGGAGUACACAAUGAGCUUUUAAAAGUAUGGUCAUACCUGUGGAUUGGACUAAGAUGGCAUUGGGUUCAAGUGUUAGAUGUCCAGCAUGAUGGAGGUGUAAGUAUGGGCUCAAGAAUGUGAUGCAUCAUUGCAUUGGGCAAGAGAUGGAUCACCUUGUAUAUGGCAUGGGUAGAUUGAUUCUUAAGACUCUAAUAGGCAUCGUGGACUAUGAGCUUGCUAUUGGCCUUUACUCUUUCUAGGAUGUUUGUUUUCAAAAGUUGUAAAAAGUAUUAGUUGGUUUAUAAACUCAUUAUAAUUGUAAAUAUAUUACUACUUUAAAUACCUUAGGUUGAUGUUGGGUUUGGAGUUG